rnacentral:rRNA from 1 species
AUUGAACGCUGGCGGCAGGCUUAACACAUGCAAGUCGAGCGAGCGGCGGACGGGUGAGUAAUGUCUGGGAAACUGCCUGAUGGAGGGGGAUAACUACUGGAAACGGUAGCUAAUACCGCAUGCCAUCAGAUGUGCCCAGAUGUGAUUGUCUAGUAGGUCGGGUAAUGGCUCACCUAGGCGACGAUCCCUAGCUGGUCUGAGAGGAUGACCAGCCACACUGGAACUGAGACACGGUCCAGACUCCUACGGGAGGCAGCAGUGGGGAAUAUUGCACAAUGGGCGCAAGCCUGAUGCAGAAAUGCCGCGUGUGUGAAGAAGGCCUUCGGGUUGUAAAGCACUUUCAGCGAGGAGGCGGUAGUCGAAGAAGAAGCACCGGCUAACUCCGUGCCAGCAGCCGCGGUAAGAG